rnacentral:rRNA from 1 species
GACGAACCGAGCGAACGUUGUUCGGAAUCACUGGGCUUAAAGGGCGCGUAGGCGGGCUGUCAAGUUUGGGGUGAAAUCCCGCGGCUCAACCGUGGAACUGCCUCAAAUACUGACGGUCUCGAGGGAGGUAGGGGCGAGCGGAACUGUGAGUGGAGCGGUGAAAUGCGUUGAUAUUCACAGGAACUCCGGUGGCGAAGGCGGCUCGCUGGACCUUUUCUGACGCUGAGGCGCGAAAGCUAGGGGAGCAAAC